rnacentral:lncRNA from 1 species
UCAGUUUUUGUCAAUGUAGCAGUUCCUCCAAAAUUGCAAGCAAUAUCAGAAUUCCCAUUAGUCUGAUAAUAGCUGUUGAAAGCAAAAGAAGCAUGAGAAACAAGUGUGUCUGGUUCAAAACAAGGUCCAUCUUUCUGAAUGGCUUUACAAUCAGCUGAUCCAAGUCCACAGGCCCAAUCCAGAGCAUUCUGCAAGUCAGCUUGGGAAACACCAGCAAGUGCCACACACCAUGUUGUGCCAUCAAUGAAUGUUGUGUUUCCUUCUGGUGGUGACAAUGUUCCCACUGGAAUCACUGCUGCAUCUGAUUUCUCUUGUUCCACUAUUCCCCUAGCCAUGCCUAAAAACAAAAUUACUAACUAUAUUAUUCCAGCAAUCCAUUCAUACAUCAAUGUUUGGAUUGGAUUCACUAUGAGUUUUGAAGAACAUAAUGAUAUUGAUAAAAGGGUUACAAGAAUCAUUUUUUCCCUUUAUCUCUUUACUAGACUACAAGAUGAAAAGUGGAGGUUAGGUUGUGUUGAGUAUUUUAUUUUGGUAAUGUCUCACUUGAUAAGGAGAGUACAAAAAGACCAUGAAGUAUACUUCCUUUGGUUCAAGAGUCAAAUACAAAUACUACUCCAUUCUCUCUGUUAAAUUAAAAUAAAGUUACCAUUUUUACCUCCCCCAACAAAAAUAGUAUUCCAGUGACAAAAUUAAAAAUGAAGAAUGGUAGAGACAUACUUUAUUUAUUAGUUAGCAAUAUAUCUGAAGAAAAAUAAGAUCUGUUGAACUUGAUAAAUGUUUAAGAAAAAUGCGAUCAUCAAGUUAGCAUUUUUAAUAGCAAGAGACUCAAGAACACAAUAUCAAAAACUACAACGGAAAAAAAGAGAAAACAGAAAAAAGGAGGAGAAAAUAACAAAGCUUACCCAUGUAGCAUUCAAUGAAAGCAAGGCAAAGAAAAAACCAUAUUUUCUUUCUCAUGAUUCCAGCUUCAAAUGAUGAACAAAAGGUUGUUUAUAUAACUUAAAUAAUAUUCCAAACUUGUAUUUAGCACAAUGAUGACUAUGAAUAAACUUAAGUCUCUUUGUAUGUUUACGUUUUUAGAGUAAGAAAACAAAAACUAAGUGGCUAUAUGGAAUCGCCAGUUACUUGAAGGAGGUUUCUUUUUUCUUUUUCACUUUUUCUGAUUUUUAAUUUAUUUUAUCAUGAAGAAGAACAUUGCAUACCUUCUGAAGCAAGUAGUACUAUCUUAGGCAGACUAUAACAGUGGAUACAUUUUUAGCUUACAAAAGGUGGUAGUCUAUUGUCCAACAUGUAGAAGAAGAACAUUGCAUACCUUCUGAAGCAAGUAGUACUAUCUUAGGCAGACUAUAACAGUGGAUACAUUUUUAGCUUACAAAAGGUGGUAGUCUAUUGUCCAACAUGUAAAAGAAAAAUAUUAUUAUUAUUAUUAUUAUUAUUAUUAUUUACUUCACAUAAAAGUAAGUUCAACAAUAAAUCUAAUUUACUUCACAUAAAAGUAAGUUCAACAAUAAAUCUAAUUUACUUCACAUAAAAGUAAGUUCAACAAUAAAUCUAAUUUACUUCACAUAAAAGUAAGUUCAACAAUAAAUCUAAUUUACUUCACAUAAAAGUAAGUUCAACAAUAAAUCAUAACUUCAAGUUAAAAUUAAGAGUUAUCAACACACUUCAUUUCAUAAACACGUGUGUCUAUUUUUGAAAUGGGUCCUACUAAAUCUUAUAGGCCCUACAUAAAUUACUUAGCCCUACAUAGUAAGCUAUCAUUUAUAUUAAACUUACUGGGGUCAGUUUUUGUCAAUGUAGCAGUUCCUCCAAAAUUGCAAGCAAUAUCAGAAUUCCCAUUAGUCUGAUAAUAGCUGUUGAAAGCAAAAGAAGCAUGAGAAACAAGUGUGUCUGGUUCAAAACAAGGUCCAUCUUUCUGAAUGGCUUUACAAUCAGCUGAUCCAAGUCCACAGGCCCAAUCCAGAGCAUUCUGCAAGUCAGCUUGGGAAACACCAGCAAGUGCCACACACCAUGUUGUGCCAUCAAUGAAUGUUGUGUUUCCUUCUGG